CCAGAGACCGACAUCCAUCACUAAGAGUCUAUGAAGAGUCGAAAGGGACUCUCCCAGAAUAAUCUUGCAGUCCUUGCACAUACCCCUAUCGCUCCUUUUGAGGAGGAGGUAAUCAAUCUCAGUCCUCGCCGCCGAAAUCUUGAAGGUGACCAAAUGCUCAUCCCUCUUUUAAAAUGUCGAGUUCGCAAUCAGAAGCUCGGAAGCCCUGGCGAAAUCAAGCAGUGACGUGCCU
rnacentral:lncRNA from 1 species